UACGAAGGGUGCAAGCGUUACUCGGAAUUACUGGGCGUAAAGCGUGCGUAGGCGGUUUGUUAAGUCCGCUGUGAAAGCCCUGGGCUCAACCUGGGAAUUGCAGUGGAUACUGGCAAGCUAGAGUGCGGUAGAGGAUGGUGGAAUUCCCGGUGUAGCGGUGAAAUUCGUAGAUAUUAGGAAGAACACCAGUGGCGAAGGCGGCUCACUGGCCCGGUACUGACGCUGAGGCGCGAAAGCGUGGGGAGCAAACAGG
rnacentral:rRNA from 1 species